rnacentral:rRNA from 1 species
ACUCAAAUGAAUUGACGGGGGCCCGCACAAGCAGUGGAGUAUGUGGUUUAAUUCGAAGCAACGCGAAGAACCUUACCAGGGCUUGACAUAUGCAGGAACUAUGAGGAAACUUGUAGGCUCUUCGGAGUCUGUAAACAGGUGGUGCAUGGUUGUCGUCAGCUCGUGUCGUGAGAUGUUGGGUUAAGUCCCGCAACGAGCGCAACCCCUAUUGUUAGUUGCCAGUUUUAAGUAAGGCACUCUAGCAAGACUGCCGGUGAUAAAUCGGAGGAAGGUGGGGACGACGUCAAAUCAUCAUGCCCCUUAUGUCCUGGGCUACACACGUACUACAAUGGGUGUAACAAAGAGCAGCGAAAUAGUGAUAUGGAGCGAAACUCAAAAAGCACCCUCAGUUCGGAUUGAAGGCUGAAAUUCGCCUUCAUGAAGUUGGAAUUGCUAGUAAUGGCAGGUCAGCAUACUGCCGUGAAUACGUUCCCGGGCCUUGCACACACCGCCCGU